AAUUCUCAACAACGGAUAUCUUGGCUCUCGCAACGAUGAAGAACGCAGCGAAAUGCGAUACGUAGUGUGAAUUGCAGAAUUCCGUGAAUCAUCGAAUCUUUGAAUGCAAAUUCUGCCAUUUGUCACUGCUAAGAUUCC